AGCAGCCGCGGUAAUUCCAGCUCCAGUAGCGUAUAUUAAAGUUGUUGCGGUUAAAAAGCUCGUAGUUGAAUUUCGGGAUCGACGGGUCGGUCGCGCCUCUGGUGUGUACUGGCCCUGUCGGUUUCUCCCUUCUGACGAACUGCGAUGUCAUUAAUUUGGUGUCGUAGGGAAUCAGGACUGUUACUUUGAAAAAAUUAGAGUGUUUAAAGCAGGCAUUCGCUUGAAUACAUUAGCAUGGAAUAAUGAAAUAGGACGUUUGAUCUUAUUUUGUUGGUUUCUAAGAUCGACGUAAUGAUUAAUAGGGAUAGUUGGGGGCAUUAGUAUUCAAUUGUCAGAGGUGAAAUUCUUGGAUUUAUUGAAGACUAACUACUGCGAAAGCAUUUGCCAAGGAUGUUUUCAUUAAUCAAGAACGAAAGUUAGGGGAUCGAAGACGAUCAGAUACCGUCGUAGUCUUAACCAUAAACUAUGCCGACUAGGGAUCGGAUGAUGUUAAUUUUUUAAUGUACUCAUUCGGCGCCUU
rnacentral:rRNA from 1 species